rnacentral:lncRNA from 1 species
ACAGGAAGAAGGCCACUUGGUUCUGAGCCCUCCUUCUAAGACGUGCCUAAGGGAGUGGUGGAACCUGGAGCUCCCACCUUGGAACCUGGAAUUUGGGGUCCUAAACAGCUGGACCCUCUAGAAAGCAGAACUAAGAUGGAAUUGGCUUCCAGGCAAUAGGACAUGACCUGGGGCUUAAAGGACACAAGGCAAGUAACAUGAUUCCUUGUCCCUCAAGCGAUCUCCAUCUUCCUCCUCCCUCACAGAACCCCAGGACAAAGAUAGAGGUCUGUAGCUCAUUCCAAAUUCUGAGACCACACCUGAGGAUGGAAAGUCAGGAAUUAGCUUCUCUGAUCCAUCAUGGGAGUUUCUCCAUCACCUUCCCACCCCACAACACCGGUCCUCACAUACAGCUCAGGGCCCACCUGGAACCUCUGCUGCGCGAGUUUGCAGAGACAAGUGGGUGGAGGUGUUAAGGCGCAGGGAGUCAGAUGGGCUGCUUCUGCAUUGUGCCGCAGUCUGCCCUGAGCAGAGGAGUGGGGCCUCAAUGUGCAGGGAAUGGGGCACUGCACCGACACAUACACUGUGACUUACUAGCCAAGUUUAGCAAGCAAGACAGAAGUGAACUGACAAAUAGCACACAUUCCCAGUGCUGUGAGUGAGUGACUUCCCUGCUGAACUGGCUGACAGCUCCCAGCACUGCAGAGGCAUUCUCCAGUGCUCAGUUCACAACGUGGCAACUACACAUGUGAUGGCACCGUAGAAUUUAAUCUGCACUGUGACAUUUGUCCCCAUCACCUUCUUCAGUCUAGAUGUGCAAUAAAAGGACAUGUCCAUU